rnacentral:rRNA from 1 species
GACGAACGCUGGCGGCGUGCCUAAUACAUGCAAGUAGAACGCACAGUUUAUACCGUAGCUUGCUACACCAUAAACUGUGAGUUGCGAACGGGUGAGUAACGCGUAGGUAACCUGCCUGGUAGCGGGGGAUAACUAUUGGAAACGAUAGCUAAUACCGCAUAAUAUUGAUUAUUGCAUGAUAAUUGAUUGAAAGAUGCUAUUGCAUCACUACCAGAUGGACCUGCGUUGUAUUAGCUAGUAGGUGAGGUAACGGCUCACCUAGGCGACGAUACAUAGCCGACCUGAGAGGGUGAUCGGCCACACUGGGACUGAGACACGGCCCAGACUCCUACGGGAGGCAGCAGUAGAGAAUCUUCGGCAAUGGACGAAAGUCUGACCGAGCAACGCCGCGUGAGUGAAGAAGGUUUUCGGAUCGUAAAGCUCUGUUGUAAGAGAAGAACGGGUGUGAGAGUGGAAAGUUCACACUGUGACGGUAUCUUACCAGAAAGGGACGGCUAACUACGUG